rfam:Punica granatum cultivar Dabenzi scaffold59, whole genome shotgun sequence.
GGUGGUUACGAUGAGGAAAAAGAAGCUCCCUCUUCUGAGAAAUGAAAUGAAGAAGGAUUGCUGGCAGAAUCGAACCUAUGACUUUACUCGCCACCACUGAGUAA